ACACGUACAACCACUCGAAAAUACAGAUGAAGUAAUGAAGUCGGAUUAAGAUCUAAACCUCAUUCAAACUUCCUGUCUGUUUAGAGUGUUUCAAAUUGCUAAAAUUAGAAAAAAAAAAUACAAGAAGAGCAUAUUAAAGUACCACUAUUCAAGCUUAAAAUUCUGUAAAUUGUGUAACUGUCGCAAGUGCAUAUAGAAAGAAUUGAAUUGUUUAGUGUUACACGGACGUACACGGACCACAUUGUAUGCAUACAUUCAAAGAAAGUGAUGCAGAGUGUCACAAGACGUGUUUUCGAUGGGUUUACUAUUAUAUGUAUACUUUAAGAUGAGCAAAAUUGGUAACCAAUAAAUUUAACUUCCUCAUUCAUCCCAAAUGUGAAAAGUUCAGUAAUCUGUUUUGCAGUUCUUGUUUUUACUUAUCUUGGAAAUAAUGCUAUUUACUCCACAAGUGAUUGUAGCAUUUGGAAUAAUAACAAUUCAUGAGUAUUUCUGUUUCGCGUGCGUAGUUCUUCGCCAACUGAGAGUAGGGCGAAAGGGUGGAUAUAUAACACGGGGGAGAUUUUUUCCCUGAAUGAAGUUGGCAGAAUACAUGAAGCAAUAGUAUGGCAUAGUCCCUUAAUUAAAGAGGCUUUUACGAAUAAAACAAAUACGACUUACAAAACAAGCCUAAAUGAUCGCACAUCGACAUUCUCAAAAUUUCAUUAAAAUUUUGCCUAUUUUCACUCUUUCGCCAGAUUCGCAAUUGCUUCCAGGUUGUGCUAAAUGACCUUAGCUACUGUACCACACAAAAUUCAGACCAACAUCUGUGCAUACCAUUGGAUACCGAUGCAAAUCACUUGUUUUCCACGUAACACAAAGGACAAACUAAGCAGUGCGUUACUAUAUCUCCUCCGACUGCAAUGCGAGGUAAUAUUUGAAAUGCUCAGCCUUAAAGGUCUUCCGUAACAAAAUGACAUUCAAAUGAAAUGAAGGAAAAAAUAUUCUGAAGAAAAGCAUUGGAAAGAAGAAAAAAUAUUCAGUUAGCCCGUUGACGGAUUGGUAUGCAUGUACUUUCUAUUGGACCCUAUCAUAAAGUGCGAAGUUUAUAGUGAGCAUCCAACAACCGCGUAUAAUGGGUCAGGCCUGGUUACUAGUCGAUAGCUCCCUACUAUCUAAUGAUUAUAAGUAGUAUCAAAUUUUGAAAGUUAAUAAUAAAAGCUGUUCAUUUUGUUGCCUUAAAUAAUUUGGAAUCGAAACCAGUUUCUGUAGACCAAAACAAGAUUGAGUUGAAAGUCGGUAGGGAACUAUGGCAAACAUUUUACAUGUAAUAUAAAGAGCCCUUUAACAAAAUAGCUAGACUAAAACUUGUGACACUGAAACUAAAUGAAUACUAUUUGCACUCCUGACUACACUCUGCUAAGUACUUUUGAUACCAAAUCAUCAACAUGUAUGGAGUAUUCAACGACAUGUAUAAACAUUUAACUACAAGGAAGAAAAAACAAAAAUCGCCUGCUGGUGUUUUAGUCCAAUAAUACGACUUUAAAACGCCUAUAGAGUAUAUAAUAACUUGAUAAAAAGCAUUUUAUAAGAAAGUACUAGUAUGUAAAUGCAAGGAGAUCCAAACAAUUAACCAGCAAGUUUAUUUUGCUAUGUCUGAACUUUCACUUAAUUUAAAAUUUUCUCUAAUAGUGUAGUUUUAAAUACACAGUAUCUAU